rnacentral:lncRNA from 1 species
CCGGGGAGUCAAGAUGUCGGGUUCCAAGUAUAAGCCUGCGCCCCUGGCCACUCUCCCCAGUACCCUCGACCCUGCCGAGUAUGACGUGUCUCCGGAGACCAGAAGGGCGCAGGUCGAGCGCUUGAGCAUAAGGGCCCGGCUUAAACGGGAGUAUCUGCUUCAGUACAACGACCCCAAACGCGUGUCGCACAUCGAGGAUCCUGCCUUGAUUCGCUGGACCUAUGCAAGAUCAGCAAAUAUUUAUCCUAAUUUCAGGCCCACUCCCAAGAACUCACUUUUAGGAGCUGUGGCAGGGUUUGGGCCCCUCAUCUUCUGGUAUUAUGUUUUCAAAACAGACAGGGACAGAAAGGAAAGACUUAUCCAGGAAGGAAAACUGGACAGAAAAUUUAACAUCUCCUACUAAGUUUGGCAAGGAUGACUAUUCUUGCAUAAAUAAAUCUAUUAAUUAAUCACCGAAAAAAAAAAAAAAAAAA